rnacentral:misc_RNA from 1 species
GAAAAACAAAAAAUUUACAUAACUGUUCUCUUCCCUACAAACGCAUUUGAGAUCUGAAUCUAACAAGAGCAGAGAGUUCAUUUGAGAAAUCGUUCCCAACCGGAAGAUAGCAAAAAUGGCGUCAACCGGACCAGACCCAUUGUUCGGACUGAGAAACAACUUCUACAUAGGGGCGUACCAAGCAGCCAUUAACAACAGCGACGUACCAAAUCUCUCCGCUGACGAUGCUGUCGAAAGGGAUACCCUUGUUUACAGAUCUUACAUUGCACUUGCCAGUUACCAGCUUGUGAUCAGUGAGAUCGAUGACUCUGCUGCUACACCUCUUCAAGCUGUCAAAUUGCUUGCUUUGUACCUUUCUAGCCCUGAUAACAAGGAAACAGUAAUCACAAGCCUUCAUGAAUUAUUAGGAGAUUCAGCCAUCGGGAACAAUCCUAUCUUACGGCUUAUUGCUGGGAUUGUAUUCAUGCAUGAGCAGGAUUACAAUGAAGCUUUGAAGCAUACAAAUGCUGGAGGGACGAUGGAAUUGCAUGCUUUGAAUGUCCAGAUAUUCAUUAAGAUGCAUAGGUCCGAUUAUGCAGAGAAACAGUUGAGAAUCAUGCAACAGGCUGAUGAAGAUCAUACCCUAACUCAACUUGCAAAUGCAUGGCUAAAUUUAGCAGUGGGUGGUUCAAAGAUACAAGAAGCUUAUCUUAUCUUCCAAGAUUUCUCAGAGAAGAACCAGAUGACAAGCCCAAUCCUGAAUGGGAAGGCUGUUUGCUGCAUGCACAUGGGGAAUUUUGACGAAGCUGAGACACUGUUG